rnacentral:lncRNA from 1 species
AGAAGGCUCCGGCUGCUGCCGGGUGGAGAAGCCACACAAGUCCCUGGGCUGGAAAUUGCUGAAUCUACCCUGGCUCACGGUUCCACUCAAUGAAAGCAGCAAUGCCGUCUUCAAGGAGGGGAUACAGCUCCCCGACUGGAAUUUAACGGAAGGUCUUCGGCAAAUGCGUAAUUUGAGCUCUGGACUUGCUGAGAAUUGCAGCAUGACAGAGCUGGAAGAGAUUUUAGAGAGAUCUAGUCCAACUCCCUUCUAUGACAGAUGGGGAAACAGGCUCAGGACAGGGAGGUGACUUCCCCAAGAUCCUGUCGCCAAUGGUAGAACCAGGACUGGAGUUCUAAUCUCCUUGACUCCUAAGCCAAACCGCUGAUCAAGUAAAACCUAAAACAUUUAUAAUUUGUAUAUGUUUUGCAACCAAUAAAACAAACUUUGGAAGCAAAAGAUAGAAAAAAAA